CUACGGGAGGCAGCAGUUAGGAAUAAUCUGCAAUGCGCGAAAGCGUGACAGUUUGAGCCAGAGUGCUUUCUUAUAGAAAGCUUUUGCUAAAUGUAAAAAGUUUGGCGAAUAAGGACUGGGUAAGACUAGUGCCAGCCGCCGCGGUAAUACUAGCGGUCCAAGUCGCAGCUAUCUUUCUUAGGUCUAAAACAUCCGUAGCUUGCUCAAUAAGUUUUUUGUGAAAUUUUAUGUCUUAAACAUAAAGCGAGCAAAAAGUACUGUUGAGCUAGAGACUGGGAGACGUAAAGAGUAUGUUUGAGGUAGCGGUAAAAUGUUUUAAUCUUAGACAGACUAACAAUAGCGAAGGCACUUUACGAGAACAGAUCUGACAGUAAGGGAUGAAGGCUAGGGGCGCAAAACGGAUUAGAUACCCGUGUAGUC
rnacentral:rRNA from 1 species